GAACGCGAAGAACCUUACCCGGGCUUGAACUAAGAGUGACUUAUCUAGAGAUAGAUAUUUCUUCGGACACUCUUGGAGGUGCUGCAUGGCUGUCGUCAGCUCGUGCCGUGAGGUGUCGGCUUAAGUGCCAUAACGAGCGCAACCCUUUUCCUUGGUUGCCAUCAGGUAAUGCUGGGCACUCCAGGGAUACUGCCAUCGUAAGAUGUGAGGAAGGUGGGGAUGACGUCAAAUCAGCACGGCCCUUACGUCCGGGGCUACACACGUGUUACAAUGGGGGGUACAGAAGGUCGCUACCUGGUGACAGGAUGCUAAUCUCAAAAACCUCUCUCAGUUCGGAUUGGAGUCUGCAACCCGACUCCAUGAAGCUGGAUUCGCUAGUAAUCGCGCAUCAGCCAUGGCGCGGUGAAUACGUUCCCGGGUCUUGUACACACC
rnacentral:rRNA from 1 species